GGGAAGGUGGCUCAGUGGUAGAGUACUUGCCUUGCAUGCAUGACACACUGGGUUUGAUUUCUCUGUCCCU
rnacentral:tRNA from 1 species